rnacentral:lncRNA from 1 species
CAAGAUCGUGCCACUGCACUUCAACCUGGGUGACAGAGUGAGACCUUGUUUCAAAAAAAAAAAAAAAAAAAAAACACUUUUUUUUUUUUUUUUUUUUUUUUUUUUUUUUUACAAUUUCACAGCCCACGGUGAGAUAAUUGAGACCCUGCUGUUCCUGGAAGCACUAUUUAGACAGAGCAGGCCUCAAUAGAUCUGGAACAAUCUUGGAGGAAGUCAUCUUUAACCCCUCCCUCUCCCUUGACCCACUAGGGAGAGAAUGAGGGAGAGAGAAAGAGGUGAAACUUACAUUAAACACCCCUUCUUACCAUUGGGAAACUUCCCUUCUUAUUAUUCUUUGGUAAUUUUUUAAAAAUAUCAUCAUCAUAUCUGAAAUAAUAUGGAUCAUCAGAAUUGCUUGUAUACAUUUUUUGACAUGCCUAAUAUUCUGGUUUUUAUGGAAAAUACAUUUGUCUAGUGUAGAGUUUCCUAAAGUAUGCUAUACAGAAUAUUAGUAAAAAUUAAAUGAAAAAAUAGGACAAAAUCCAUCACUCAUAAAUCCACUUUUAGAGAUGAUUUAAAGUGUAAACUAAUGAUUUCAAGUCAUGUUUUAAAGCC